CAAGUCGAACGAGAUCCAUGGUGUAGCAAUACACCGGAAGAUCUAGUGGCGAACGGGUGAGGAACACGUGAGAAACCUGCCCCAGACUUUGGGAUAACAAGUGGAAACGCUUGCUAAUACCGAAUGACGUCGGAGAACCGCAUGGUUCACUGACGAAAGGAAUUCCGGUUUGGGAGGGUCUCGCGGCCUAUCAGCUUGUUGGUGGGGUAAUGGCCUACCAAGGCAACGACGGGUAGCUGGUCUGAGAGGAUGAUCAGCCACACUGGGACUGAGACACGGCCCAGACUCCUACGGGAGGCAGCAGUGGGGAAUCUUGCGCAAUGGGCGAAAGCCUGACGCAGCAACGCCGCGUGCGGGAUGAAGGCCCUCGGGCUGUAAACCGCUUUCAGCAGGAACGAAAAUGACGGUACCUGCAGAAGAAGGAGCGGCCAACUACGUGCCAGCAGCCGCGGUGACACGUAGGCUCCAAGCGUUGUCCGGAUUUAUUGGGCGUAAAGAGCUCGUAGGCGGUUGAGUAAGUCGGGUGUGAAAACUCUGGGCUUAACCCGGAGACGCCAUCCGAUACUGCUCUGACUUGAGUUCAGGAGGGGAGUGGGGAAUUCCUAGUGUAGCGGUGAAAUGCGCAGAUAUUAGGAGGAACACCGGUGGCGAAGGCGCCACUCUGGACUGAAACUGACGCUGAGGAGCGAAAGCAUGGGUAGCAAACAGGAUUAGAUACCCUGGUAGUCCAUGCCGUAAACGGUGGGCACUAGGUGUGGGUUCCAACUAACGGGAUCCGCGCCGUCGCUAACGCAUUAAGUGCCCCGCCUGGGGAGUACGGUCGCAAGACUAAAACUCAAGGGAUUUGACGG
rnacentral:rRNA from 1 species